rnacentral:misc_RNA from 1 species
UACGUAGGUUGCAAGCGUUGUCCGGAAUUACUGGGCGUAAAGCGCGCGCAGGUGGCUUCUUAAGUCUGAUGUGAAAGCCCACGGCUCAACCGUGGAGGGUCAUUGGAAACUGGGGAACUUGAGUGCAGAAGAGGAAAGUGGAAUUCCGAGUGUAGCGGUGGAAUGCGUAGAGAUUUGGAGGAACACCAGUGGCGAAGGCGACUUUCUGGUCUGUAACUGACACUGAGGCGCGAAAGCGUGGGGAGCAAACAGG